UCCCUCUUGCCGGCGGCCUCGCCGACGUUUGCCGGCACGCUCGAGGUCGAUCCGCUCAUGGUUGCGGGCUCCUCUGUUGCCGCUAGGCGUACUCGUUCCUACCUUCGUUGCUGCAACCACGCCCUCCCAGUUGGACCUACGGAACCUUUGUUGCGGCAUCCAUCCCCUCCUAGAUACAGUCCUCGGAUUCUGAUGCUCCCGCUAGCAAGGUUGCUCUUGCUUCUGUUGGUCAAUCGUGCAACUGGUGGAAGGAGGACCACGGUUCUCCAUGCUGUGGUGUAGAUUAGGCGGUAGGUACUAGCUAGGUGCUUGAUGUCACUGAAGAGAAAGAAGUAGAGGAGCUUAUGUUCUUAUGUUCGCUUUGGUGGCCAGUUGCUUAUAAUUUAUUUGAUACGGCGGCUUAGGAUUAUAGUCUUAUGUAACCGUGAAAAUUGUCUUUGGCAAAUUUACUAAGUAGUUCAGAAGACUCACUUUGUAUUGUAUUGUAUUUUAAUAAUUUAUUGUUGUUGUGAUCAAUCAAUAUAAAUUUGCAAUGAUAUAUAUACAUUUUGGC